rnacentral:lncRNA from 1 species
GGUUUCUUUUCAAAGAUUAGUUUUAACAAAGCCUGGUUUUGAGCAAAUUGGAAGAGACCAAAAUUCUGGAUUUUCUCUGCAUCUCCCCACUGAAAGAUUUUGAACAUCUUAAAAACUCAACCUGUCACCUUCUAUUUGGCCAAGCAUGAAAUUAUUAGCAACGGUGCAUACACAACUAGAGCCUCUCUGUUUGAAUGUGUUAGCAAAUGUUUCAUUGGAUGUGCAAUGCUAGAUGUACAUGGAAGCAUUCGUCAUUUUUUUGUCAUUGAUAUUGCCAGUCUGAAUGGACAACAUUAAAGCUAAUCAAGAAACAGUUGUGAAGAAAAUUCAAGAAGCAAUUUGCUAUGCUUUGGGACUCUGUGUUCUUAUUUCCUUGAAGUUCAAAUAUGUUUGUUGAUGAACUGGAGUGCUGCAAACCUUCACCCCUCACAAUUGGUGAUCAUGCUUCAUAAGAAUGACAAUAAUAUGGGAUGGUUUUUUUGUUCUGUGAGCUGAAUUACUAUAUUGUUACCUUGUCUAGCAGUGACCGAACAAGAAGGCAAUAAUGGUGCUCAAACAUUAGUUUCAUGUUGAUUCCCAUCCUUGCUGAAGAAGGAGAAACCAGAAGGUAUGAUGGUUCUCAAACAUCAGCUUCUCUCCCCAAGAACUCUUUUUAACCUCCGCCCAAUUUAUUAAAAAUACAAGGAAACUAGUGCAAGUUUUUAUCAAAGUAUGCUUGAGUCAUGCAAUUUGCCAGAAAACAGGGUGUUUUUUUUGUACUUUUGAACAUUUGUCCUGUGCUAUAUAGCUUAGUUUUUAAUCUUUAAGAUUGUACAUUUACUAGGUGCUUAACAUGUCAUUUGAUUGUGAAAGAAGCUGGUUUAUUCCAUUUUCUUGUACUGGUUACUAGACCAUACCUUUUCUUUGCGUUCCUUAGCUGUCAUAACUGAAUUCAUACUGAAAUGUAACAUUACGAUGGUAUUUUCCAGAGUCUUAGAAAGCAGACCUCAUGUUGUUGGACAAAGACACCACCCUUUGCUGUUGCAUUUCUUACAAGAUUGCCAGGGGGCGGAAGUUAUUUUCCCUCACUAGACAGGUUUGAAGAUGAAGUUAGUAAUCAAUGACGAGAAUUUUGCACAUCAGAGAGCGCUAGCUUUGAUGGAGGCUUCGCCAAUAGGUGGUUCUCCCCACAUUUCCCAAACAUAAUUUUUUGCUCAUCUCCUGCUCGGGCUGCAGAAAGAAAGGUAAUAAUUUAGCUUGUUCAUCUUCAAGGCAGUUUUGAUAGUUUUUAUCUGCAUUCUUGAUAUGUAUUUCGUAAAUCAAUUACCAAAACUUUUUUUUUCCCUUUGGUGUAACAUGCUGAUUGCUGAACAAAUUGAAAGAGACCAAAAUUCUGUGUUUUCUCUACCUCUCUGAACUACUGAAAGAUUGGAACAUCUUAAAUCUCUUUAACUUCAACUUGUUACCUUCUAUUUGGCCAAGCACAAAUUUAUUAGCAAUGGUUCACACCCAAUUAGCCUCUUCGUUUGAAUGUGGUACAAAAUGUUUCAUUUGAUUUGCAAUGCUAGAUGUACAUGGACACAUUCUUCAUUUUUCUGUCACUGAUAUUGCCAGUCUCAAUGGAUAACAUUAAAGCUAGUUGAGAAAUGAUUUUCAAAGAAAAUUCAUGAUACAAUUUGCUGUUCUUUGGAACUCUGUGUACUUAUUGCCAUAAAAUUAGAUCAGUCUAAUUGAACUUCAAAUAUGUAUGUGGAGGAACUAGAGUGCUGUGAACAUUCACC